rnacentral:sRNA from 1 species
GAACUGCUUGCUGUAUGCCUCAAUUAGACAACCUAUAGACACAGAAUAUCUUGAGGUCAACACC